UAUGAAGCGUGCAACUGCGCUCGGGUUGAGUAUAGGACUUUCGAACUUGUCCAACCUACAGCCGCCGCGAGAUCGAGUCGCCUCCGCUCGUGCUUCGUCUCCGACCACGGCGACUUCGUCCUCCGUCUCCCUCCUCUUCGGAUUUGGAAAGAUGCCGACAUCUAUGAGAUGCGGUGAUGAUCUCACAAGGAGUACAAAUGAGGAGCUAAUAACCAGCAAGGCUGACUCGAAGCCGAGCUCAAAUGAGAACCUAAGAACUUGCAAUAGUGUUGGAAAGUUGAUUGAGUCAUUGCCUCCAGGUUCAGGUGCUACUGAUACUGCCGGACUUGGCAGCUCUAGUGGUUCUGCUCGAGAUGUCUCCGACUGUUCCGGUGGAGCUCCAUCCAAAACGACCCGUGGUGUCGUCUGGAUUUACUUGUUUGAUGGAGACACCAUUGUGUUUUUAUGCUCCGGCCUUCCUAUAGAACACAAUCCGUCUUGCACAAAAGUGUUGACCUCAACAAAUUUGGCUGCAGCUAUGAGGGACAAAACAAAAUCCAGCUCUGCCAUGAAGAUUCAAGUGCGCGAUGCAUUUAGUAAUGUUGCCCCUGGGUGCUUGGAGGAAUGUGAGUAAGAUGACGGGACUGUUAGGGCUGCUGUUGUCAAAGUGACAGGGUUCCUUGAUGUUUGUGAAGUACAUCUCCACCAUGGGUUGGAAAUUCCGCCCCUCAUUGUCGUAGUAGCCGUACACUUUAAUGACUCUGGUGGAGCGACGGCUGUAAAAGAGAUCCUGAGUAAAAAAGUUUCAACGCCUUCCGAGACUGUGCUUUGCAAGGCUGGUGAUGGCGAGCCACUCUUUGACGGUGAUGGGAACUUUGUUGGCAUGGUUAUUUUUUCCGAUGGCAGGCAUGUUUAUGUGCAAGGAAGUGUAAUUUUUGAAAAUUUGGUGGAAUUUGCAAGAAGGAUUAGGGUACGCGUGCGACAGCAGGAACGAUAUAGACGUUCUAUGAGCGAAAAAGGCAAGCGCCGGUGCCGACAUGAUGUCUAUGAUGAUCCAGUAAAGAGAAAGAGAACCUUCUUGUGAUCUGGAAGAGGCGAUGGCACUAGGUUCAGGAAGAGCGGGCUGGCGCGAGAAGUGGCGCAGGAGCCCUGGCGUAAGCGGGAAGAUUUGAACGAGUCAAGUGGGUCGCGUUGUAAGUCAUGGGCCUUCGGCCGGAGUCGGUGUGUGUGUGUGGGCUUGCGAUUUAUAAGCAAGCGAGGACACUGUAGAUGAUCAAGUUUGAAAUUCUGAGCCUCUCGCUGUCUCUCUCUCGUCCUCUCUGUUCUUAUCCUCUCCCGAGCUACUUUCCCCUUCUCCUCACCAUGGCCUCGCCUCCUUGUCUCUCCCAGUAGCUACCUCACCGUCGGCGACUCGGUCCGCUCCACGGUCGUGACAUUUUCUUCUAUGGUUAACUAAUAAGGUACUAAUGUGUUGUUUAGUAGUACCACCUUAGGUACGUUUAGCCUUAUUACAUAUGUCCAUCAGUAUCUCAUAGUUAGCUUUUUUAAUGAAUCUUGUCCAUCAGCAUCUCUUACUUCAGCUCCUUUAAUGAAUCUGCUGAGUGCUUGUCUUUUUUUUUUUUGGUGAAGCAGGCCUGUCUAAUCUAUUAUGGUUAUUUUGGAUUCAUUUCAAUACAUACAUUGUUUGGUUGCUUCAACCUACUUUGAAUUUGAAGGCUUGCUGUUUACUGUACAGAUAACGACAGAUGGCCAGUGCAAGCCAAUUUAGUAUCAUCCCUAGAAUAAUGAUAAAGUUUUGGUUCAUGUGACUCAUGCUUGUCUAUGGGGUAGUGAUCAGCAAAAUCAAUCAUGACUUUGGUUGAACCAUGUAUGCUCAAUCCAGUCAAAACAGCUAUCAAUAUUCAGUAAAAAAUAAAAACAGCUAUCAAUAAGUGGAGUCUGUCUAGUGUAACGUUGCAUCCUUGUAUAUUGUUCACAAACUAAGUUUUUUUUUUUGGGAGAUGCACAUGAGUAUUGAAUUGAAUGUUUCUGAUCUUAGAUAUUAGAAAGAGGAAAUCUUAGUACAACAAAUAUCACUACCCCUAUAUAAAGCACCAUUGUCUCUGGAAUCCAAACAAUCUCAGCCAUACGCUUCAUGUUAACAAUAAACGUUGGACUAAUGCUAAUUGUCCCUUAAUCUCACGCUUAAUGUCCCCUGCAAAUCUCUCCUCAUUCGGUUCAAGGUGCUCCCCUCCCCUCUGGGGCUCUGUUCAAACUGUUCAAGGGAUGUGAUAUAAAAUUAAAACACCAUUUCGUAGACAUGGAUGGGGGGCCACCUGAAUGCAAGAAGGAAGUAAUGAAAUAUUAUAUUUGGGCCUGUGUAGCAAAUAUACUAAUGUGUAAUCUGUAGCUUUUAGUUUCCCUUCACUUGUAGCAGGAACAUGUGAGCUCUGCGAUACCAAAUUACGUGAAGUGGUAGAAAACUGAGCUAUGUUAGCUCAGUUUGUUGGCAUUCAUCCUAAUCAUUUCAUAUUCAGUUCAAAUUUUUCUAUGAAAACCUUAUCUCCAUGAGUGCUUACAGAUGCUAAUUGCAUACAAGUAUGUACAAGAUAUGUAGAGGAGUUUCUAUCACUGAUUUGUAUAGUACUGAGUUGAAUAUAUGAGCUUCUAGCUAAUAGUGGGGGCUAAACUGGAUUCCUUAAUGGAAAAGAAACAAUCAGCUGGAAGUUCCUAUAUUAUCUUUCUCCCUUUCUUAGCUAAAAUAGACUUUUCUCUCUAAAAGUGAAUAUUCCACACAAUUCUAGGCCAAAUCAGUUCUCGCUUGUCUUGAUUAAUAGUUUAUCCAAGCUGCUCCAACAAAACCUAACGAACUCACUAGCCAGUCUCAAUACAAGUUAAACCGUGUGUUUAUGUGCAGGUGCGUCAGCAAUUACAGAAA